UACGUAGGGGGCGAGCGUUGUCCGGAGUUACUGGGCGUAAAGCGCACGCAGGCGGUCUGCUAAGUUUGGGGUGACAGUUGGUGGCUUAACUGCCAAAGUGCUUCGAAAACUGACAGACUUGAGGGCUUACAGAGGGACACGGAAUUCCGGGUGGAGUGGUGAAAUGACGGUAGAGAUCCGGAAGGAACACCAAAGGCGAAGGCAGUGGUCCUGGGGAGUACCUGACGCUCGAGGUGCGAAAGCCAGGGGAGCGAACGGG
rnacentral:rRNA from 1 species